CCUACGGGAGGCUGCAGUGGGGAAUAUUGGACAAUGGGGGGAACCCUGAUCCAGCCAUGCCGCGUGUGUGAAGAAGGCCCUCGGGUUGUAAAGCACUUUCAGUGAGGAAGAACGCCUGGUGGUUAAUACCCAUCAGGAAAGACAUCACUCACAGAAGAAGCACCGGCUAACUCCGUGCCAGCAGCCGCGGUAAUACGGAGGGUGCGAGCGUUAAUCGGAAUUACUGGGCGUAAAGCGCGCGUAGGUGGCUUGAUAAGCCGGUUGUGAAAGCCCCGGGCUCAACCUGGGAACGGCAUCCGGAACUGUCAAGCUAGAGUGCAGGAGAGGAAGGUAGAAUUCCCGGUGUAGCGGUGAAAUGCGUAGAGGUCGGGAGGAAUACCAGUGGCGAAGGCGGCCUUCUGGACUGACACUGACACUGAGGUGCGAAAGCGUGGGUAGCAAACAGGAUUAGAUACCCGAGUAGUC
rnacentral:rRNA from 1 species